AGUUAACGCUAGAUGGAGGUCCCACAGAGAUCCAGAGAAGAACGCUGACAACUCCGAGGCUGGUGAGCAAACAGGUGUCGCUACCUUGGAGCCCACGGAACUCCUGCUUUCUUGCUGACCCUGAAAUUUGAGGGAAAUGAAGACCUUAAGCAUCACAUCUUACAACCUGAAUAUUCCAUCUAUUGGAAAAGACACCUCCAGAAGGGCUCUCUUCAACCUCGCUGGAAAGGCCCCUAUCAGGAGCUGCCUGGAGGGGUUAGUUCUGUGCAGGGGAAGGAGUCCUACACAGCGUGCCCUGCACCCAUGCCUGGCUGUGCCUAACCAGUGAGGGUGCUGCUCUCUGAAGGCUGGAUUUUGGAGCAGAAAGAAAGCACGGGCCAAACUGGUUUUAACUUGCAAACCAGCAGAAAUGAUAGGAAAGAUUCCCAAGCU